rnacentral:rRNA from 1 species
UACAGGGGGGGCAAGCGUUGUUCGGAAUUACUGGGCGUAAAGGGCUCGUAGGCGGCCAACUAAGUCGGAUGUGAAAUCCCCAAGCUUAACUUGGGAACUGCAUCCGAUACUGGAUGGCUUGAAUCCGGGAGAGGGAUGCAGAAUUCCAGGUGUAGCGGUGAAAUGCGUAGAUAUCUGGAGGAAUACCGGUGGCGAAGGCGGCAUCCUGGACCGGCAUUGACGCUGAGGAGCGAAAGCUAGGGGAGCAAACGGG